GACGAACGCUGGCGGCGUGCCUAACACAUGCAAGUUGAGCGACGAACCAGGGCUUGCCCUGGGGCAAAGCAGCGAGCGGGUGAGUAACACGUGGGUAACCUACCCCGAUAACCGGGACAACCCGAGGAAACUCGGGCUAAUACCGGAUGUGCUCACUGGACUUCGGUUCAGUGCGUAAAGGAAGCUUCGGCCUCCGUAUCGGGAGGGGCCCGCGGCCCAUUAGUUUGUUGGUGAGGUAACGGCUCACCAAGACCGCGAUGGGUAGCUGGUCUGAGAGGACGAUCAGCCACACUGGGACUGAGACACGGCCCAGACUCCUACGGGAGGCAGCAGUGGGGAAUCUUGCGCAAUGCGCGAAAGCGUGACGCAGCAACGCCGCGUGGGGGAAGAAGGCCUUCGGGUUGUAAACCCCUUUCAGGAGGGACGAAGGUUCGGCGGUGAAUAGCCGUCCGGACUGACGGUACCUCCACAAGAAGCCCCGGCUAACUACGUG
rnacentral:rRNA from 1 species